rnacentral:rRNA from 1 species
GAUGAACGCUGGCGGCGUGCCUAAUACAUGCAAGUCGAGCGAACAGACGAGGAGCUUGCUCCUCUGACGUUAGCGGCGGACGGGUGAGUAACACGUGGAUAACCUACCUAUAAGACUGGGAUAACUUCGGGAAACCGGAGCUAAUACCGGAUAAUAUAUUGAACCGCAUGGUUCAAUAGUGAAAGACGGUUUUGCUGUCACUUAUAGAUGGAUCCGCGCCGCAUUAGCUAGUUGGUGAGGUAACGGCUUACCAAGGCAACGAUGCGUAGCCGACCUGAGAGGGUGAUCGGCCACACUGGAACUGAGACACGGUCCAGACUCCUACGGGAGGCAGCAGUAGGGAAUCUUCCGCAAUGGGCGAAAGCCUGACGGAGCAACGCCGCGUGAGUGAUGAAGGUCUUCGGAUCGUAAAACUCUGUUAUUAGGGAAGAAUAAAUGUGUAAGUAACUAUGCACGUCUUGACGGUACCUAAUCAGAAAGCCACGGCUAACUACGUG